rnacentral:rRNA from 1 species
UACGAACUGUGCAAACGUUAUUCGGAAUCACUGGGCUUAAAGGGUGCGUAGGCGGCUUGUUAAGUAGGGUGUGAAAUCCCCCGGCUCAACCGGGGAAUUGCGCCCUAAACUGGCGAGCUGGAGUGAGAUAGGGGUGUGUGGAACUUCCAGUGGAGCGGUGAAAUGUGUUGAUAAUUGGAAGGAACGCCAGUGGCGAAAGCGACACACUGGGUCUCAACUGACGCUGAGGCACGAAAGCCAGGGGAGCAAACGGG